rnacentral:rRNA from 1 species
UACAGAGGUCCCAAGCGUUGUUCGGAUUCACUGGGCGUAAAGGGUGCGUAGGUGGUUAGGUAAGUCCGAUGUGAAAUCUCCAGGCUCAACCUGGAAAUGGCAUUGGAUACUAUCUAGCUUGAGGAGUGGAGGGGGGACUGGAAUUCUCGGUGUAGCAGUGAAAUGCGUAGAUAUCGAGAGGAACACCUGUGGCGAAAGCGGCUCACUGGACCACAACUGACGCUGAGGCGCGAAAGCUAGGGGAGCAAACAGG